rnacentral:lncRNA from 1 species
UUGGUGUGUUCUGGUCGUGCACAAACACAGAGCCAGGAGAGGCUCCCCAAGCUCAAACCCUAGUUAUCAAGAAUUGACUAAAUUGAAGGCCAAAUUCCGUUCCAAAUCGCAAUCCAAGCAUAGAAUAAUGAUCUCCUCUGAAAGAGGAUCAUAAGGCAAGGAAAUCGGAACGUCAAGCGGACAAGCUAAUGGCGAUACGCGUUUGAAGGGGGCGCUUGGAAGAUACCAAUGUUGAUGAAUUAUGCAAGUGAUGUUGGAUUUAACCGGGAGAUAAUCGAGCUAGCUUUUGAAGAACCGAACACUACCUACAAGCUUCCGCUUUAGUUUUACUCUUAAUGGACUAUGUUUUGGGAAUGUAAACAAUUAACAAUUAGCUUUCGAAUGUUUUAACUUAGUACUAAGUUAACUAAACUCUUGCUACUUAUGAAUUUCUUGUAAGGAAUCUAUGUUAUUUAAGUAUGUUUUUACUUAAGAUGUUUUGAAUCAUUAUUUUAUUCAAGUAAAUUAAACGGGUGU